rnacentral:rRNA from 1 species
GAUGAACGCUGGCGGCGUGCUUAACACAUGCAAGUCGAACGGUGAACGAGGGAGCUUGCUCCCUCCGGAUCAGUGGCGAACGGGUGAGUAACACGUGAGCAAUCUGCCCUGGACUCUGGGAUAAGCGUUGGAAACGACGUCUAAUACCGGAUACGAGACGCGAAGGCAUCUUCAGCAUCUGGAAAGAACUUCGGUCCAGGAUGAGCUCGCGGCCUAUCAGGUAGUUGGUGAGGUAACGGCUCACCAAGCCUACGACGGGUAGCCGGCCUGCGGGGGUGACCGGCCACACUGGGACUGAGACACGGGCCAGAGUCCUACGGGAGGCAGCAGUGGGGAAUAUUGCACAAUGGGCGCAAGCCUGAUGCAGCAACGCCGCGUGAGGGACGACGGCCUUCGGGUUGUAAACCUCUUUUAGCAGGGAAGAAGCGAAAGUGACGGUACCUGCAGAAAAAGCACCGGCUAACUACGUGCCAGCCGCCGCGGUAAAAC